rnacentral:misc_RNA from 1 species
AAUUUAAAAUUUUGGGGUGUUACAAGAGGUUCUUGAGCAAGCACGAUUUGUGACCUCCUGACCGAUGAAGGCGAGAAGCCGUUUUAAGCUCUGCCGAUCGACUCUCACCACAAAAUCUAAGUUCAAUUGAAUUUGUUUGUUUUGGCCUUGUCCUAUUUCCUAAAUUGAUCUUCUUGUGGGCGAACACUAUCAAGAAACUCUAUUUCAUGAGACCAAAUAUUUGCUUUCAAUUAGUAGAUGAAAAGAAAGGCAGGUAACGUUGUUGUUUCUUCUCUACUAUUAACUUAGUUCUAGGGUUUGGUUUUGUUGGGCCUUUGGCUUGUAUUAGUAUUACAGCUAGAUUGUAAGCCUUUUCUCUUUAAACUCAGAGUUUUGAGCUAAUUUAUUGUCACGAUUCAAAAUUUUGAGCCGUGACUAGCGCAUAAUUUAAGUAUUCUUAAA